GACGUAACAGGAAGCAGCUUGCUGCUUCGCUGACGAGUGGCGGACGGGUGAGUCCAUGUUCUGGGAAACUGCCUGAUGGAGGGGGAUAACUACUGGAAACGGUAGCUAAUACCGCAUAACGUCGCAAGACCAAAGAGGGGGACCUUCGGGCCUCUUGCCAUCGGAUGUGCCCAGAUGGGAUUAGCUAGUAGGUGGGGUAACGGCUCACCUAGGCGACGAUCCCUAGCUGGUCUGAGAGGAUGACCAGCCACACUGGAACUGAGACACGGUCCAGACUCCUACGGGAGGCAGCAGUGGGGAAUAUUGCACAAUGGGCGCAAGCCUGAUGCAGCCAUGCCGCGUGUAUGAAGAAGGCCUUCGGGUUGUAAAGUACUUUCAGCGGGGAGGAAGGGAGUAAAGUUAAUACCUUUGCUCAUUGACGUUACCCGCAGAAGAAGCACCGGCUAACUCCGUGCCAGCAGCCGCGGUAAUACGGAGGGUGCAAGCGUUAAUCGGAAUUACUGGGCGUAAAGCGCACGCAGGCGGUUUGUUAAGUCAGAUGUGAAAUCCCCGGGCUCAACCUGGGAACUGCAUCUGAUACUGGCAAGCUUGAGUCUCGUAGAGGGGGGUAGAAUUCCAUG
rnacentral:rRNA from 1 species